GAGUUCCCUUCGGGGACAUUGGUGACAGGUGGUGCAUGGUUGUCGUCAGCUCGUGUCGUGAGAUGUUGGGUUAAGUCCCGCAACGAGCGCAACCCUUGUCUUUAGUUGCCAUCAUUAAGUUGGGCACUCUAGAGAGACUGCCAGGGAUAACCUGGAGGAAGGUGGGGAUGACGUCAAAUCAUCAUGCCCCUUAUGCUUAGGGCUACACACGGGCUACAAUGGGUAGUACAGAGGGUUGCCAAGCCGUAAGGUGGAGCUAAUCCCUUAAAGCUACUCUCAGUUCGGAUUGUAGGCUGACACUCGCCUACAUGAAGCUGGAGUUACUAGUAAUCGCAGAUCAGAAUGCUGCGGUGAAUGCGUUCCCGGGUCUUGUACACACCGCCCGUCACACCACGGGAGUUGGAG
rnacentral:rRNA from 1 species